UCUGGAAACUNUCUGACUUGAGUGCAGAAGGGGAGAGUGGAAUUCCAUGUGUAGCGGUGAAAUGCGUAGAUAUAUGGAGGANCACCAGUGGCGAAAGCGGCUCUCUGGUCUGUCACUGACGCUGUGGCUCGAAAGCGUGGGUAGCGAACAGGAUUAGAUACCCUGGUAGUCCACGCCGUAAACGAUGAGUGCUAGGUGUUAGGCCCUUUCCGGGGCUUAGUGCCGGAGCUAACGCAAUAAGCACUCCGCCUGGGGAGUACGACCGCAAGGUUGAAACUCAAAGGAAUUGACGGGGGCCCGCACAAGCGGUGGAGCAUGUGGUUUAAUUCGAAGCAACGCGAAGAACCUACCAGGUCUUGACAUCCCGAUGCUAUUCUUAGAGAUAGGAAGUUACUUCGGUACAUCGGAGACAGGUGGUGCAUGGUUGUCGUCAGCUCGUGUCGUGAGAUGUUGGGUUAAGUCCCGCAACGAGCGCAACCCUUAUUGUUAGUUGCCAUCAUUAAGUUGGGCACUCUAGCGAGACUGCCGGUAAUAAACCGGAGGAAGGUGGGGAUGACGUCAAAUCAUCAUGCCCCUUAUGACCUGGGCUACACACGUGCUACAAUGGUCGGUACAACGAGUUGCGAGCCGGUGACGGCAAGCUAAUCUCUGAAAGCCGAUCUCAGUUCGGAUUGGAGGCUGCAACUCGCCUCCAUGAAGUCGGAAUCGCUAGUAAUCGCGGAUCAGCACGCCGCGGUGAAUACGUUCCCGGGCCUUGUACACACCGCCCGUCACACCACGAGAGUUCGUAACACCCGAAGUCGGUGAGGUAACCUUUUAGGGGCCAGCCGC
rnacentral:rRNA from 1 species